UAGUUGCCAAAAUCCAAGCACACUUAGCGUAGCCUAACAUUUAGGGACUCAUAUACCCCGUGAUCAAAAUCCUAACUAGGGAUUUCUGUCCAAAAGAAAAGCCUAAAUAGGAUUCAUCAUGGUUACAUUGGAUGCAUGGUUCGAACUCCAAAGUUGAUGCUCUAUAAGGGUCGAAGGCCUUGAUUAUAGUAGUAAACAUUGUCAGCCUUUCAUCGAGAGAGAAGACGGAGAAAAGGUAAACCGAAGAGAGGGGGGCAGGAUGGUGCAGGUAUCCCACCAGGCCAGAGACAAAAUUAGAGAGAGUUGAAUAGGCCGUGAUGUGAUUCUAGAGUCGAAUUUAUUAUCCCAAGAGAUGCAGAGAUCGUAAAAGCAUAAGAUCCGCAGCCUUGUCAAUCCAUGUGCAUAAUCCUUGAAGACUUUCUUGGCCUCCAAUCUUGAGCUACUAUGAGCCACGGGGAUCCUUCAGCCAACAAUACGUCUAUUACUUAAAAUGCCUCUCUCCUCCUCUCUUUUUCUUGAGUAGGGAAAUUGAAACAUAAAAAUUGAUGAAAUUAAUAAUGGGUCCAGAAGCUUCAACUGGAACAUUUAUUUUUUUUUGAAAUUUGAUUGAAAUACAUUAGUAGGAAAAUUUUCAUAAUGGGUCCAGAAGCUUCAACUGGAACAUUUUUUUUUUUUUUUUGAAAUUUGAUUGAAACAUCAUAACUCUAUAAAACUUGCUUAAGCUGUCUAGCAAUCCUAUGAAAAUUUGUUAUACACGUUUUAUCUUCACCCUCCCUUUUUAUUAUAAAAACUCUAGCACUCAACUGAAUUGAACAUAAGUAUAUUGAUCAAGAUUCAUGUUUGUUGAAAUGCAUUUUCUAGAAUAUACAUUGCAUCACUCUCAUUGCCAACUAAAAUAUGGAAUAAAUUUACUAAAUGGAAGGUAGUUAAGUUAAAAAAUUGCAUGCAGUAUUAAACAAUGAAAAAAAACCUUUGACAUCACCUUUAAUUCCAUCCUCUUGCUUCAACACCUCCAACCACCAAAACUCACAAUUACUCAAUAUGUUUUUAAUUUUAAGCCGUUGGUAUAUCUAAUGUUUAGCCCAUCA
rnacentral:lncRNA from 1 species